rnacentral:rRNA from 1 species
GACGAACGCUGGCGGCGUGCUUAACACAUGCAAGUCGAACGGAAAGGCCCUGCUUUUGUGGGGUGCUCGAGUGGCGAACGGGUGAGUAACACGUGAGUAACCUGCCCUUGACUUUGGGAUAACUUCAGGAAACUGGGGCUAAUACCGGAUAGGAGCUCCUGCUGCAUGGUGGGGGUUGGAAAGUUUCGGCGGUUGGGGAUGGACUCGCGGCUUAUCAGCUUGUUGGUGGGGUAGUGGCUGACCAAGGCUUUGACGGGUAGCCGGCCUGAGAGGGUGACCGGCCACAAUGGGACUGAGGUACGGCCCAGACUCCUACGGGAGGCAGCAGUGGGGAAUAUUGCACAAUGGGCGGAAGCCUGAUGCAGCAACGCCGCGUGCGGGAUGACGGCCUUCGGGGUGUAAACCGCUUUCGCCUGUGACGAAGCGGGAGUGACGGUAAUGGGUAAAGAAGCACCGGCUAACUACGUG